UUGAAAAACAUUAAAACAAACUAAAAAAAACUGCCUCCGCAUAAUAUGGGGGUAUUGCCAGAUCAAGUUUUAGCAGCAAUGAUUGAACAAUAUCGACACUUUUUUGGCAUAUAAUCACAGCUCACAAUUUUUCGUUCCAGUUAUCUUUUAGCAUUGUUUAGCUUUCGCUAAAAUCAAUUGCAAAAGACGUUCGAUUAAAAUUAUCUUUCAACUGAAUGAUAAGGAGCUUCAAGGGGUUUCGAACUAAUCUUUUCUAUAAAUACUGCGGUCUUUAAUGGCCACAAAUAGUUCUUUCUUUUCGUAGCAUUCAAACGGAAUUAAACAAGAAAAAAAAAUGAUUAAGAAAAUCACUUUGAUUUCGGUGGUAGUACUGUUGUUAUCGAUGUACACUGCUGUUUAUGCAAAUGACUACUGUAACAUGGCCGCAGUAGCACCACCCAACAAUGCACUACCAUCAGCUUGUAUGUCACACGCUGCAGGAUGUCAAUGGUUGAAUGGUAUUGUCGAGCCAAACGGAAGAUGUGUUGAAGCUGGAUACAUAUGUUGUGUCUUCCGUUGUGACGGUGACGAAGAUUGUUAAUGUGAAAUAAAUUCAUAAUUUUUGCAGCCGAAUAAAUGUCAAUUUCAAA